GCCCUUUAGACUGGGAUAACAGAGGGAAACUUCUGAUAAUACUGGAUAAGUUAGUAUAUCGCAUGAUAUGCAAAUGAAAGCUACGGCACUAAAGGAGAGCUUUGCGUCCUAUUAGCUAGUUGGUAAGGUAAGAGCUUACCAAGGCGAUGAUAGGUAGCCGGCCUGAGAGGGUGGACGGCCACAAGGGGACUGAGAUACGGCCCUUACUCCUACGGGAGGCAGCAGCA
rnacentral:rRNA from 1 species